rnacentral:rRNA from 1 species
GAUGAACGCUGGCGGCGUGCCUAAUACAUGCAAGUCGAGCGAACAGACGAGGAGCUUGCUCCUCUGACGUUAGCGGCGGACGGGUGAGUAACACGUGGAUAACCUACCUAUAAGACUGGGAUAACCUCGGGAAACCGGAGCUAAUACCGGAUAAUAUAUUGAACCGCAUGGUUCAAUAGUGAAAGACGGUUUUGCUGUCACUUAUAGAUGGAUCCGCGCCGCAUUAGCUAGUUGGUAAGGUAACGGCUUACCAAGGCAACGAUGCGUAGCCGACCUGAGAGGGUGGUCGGCCACACUGGAACUGAGACACGGUCCAGACUCCUACGGGAGGCAGCAGUAGGGAAUCGUCCGCAAUGGGCGAAAGCCUGACGGAGCAACGCCGCGUGAGUGAUGAAGGUCUUCGGAUCGUAAAACUCUGUUAUUAGGGAAGAACAAAUGUGUAAGUAACUAUGCACGUCUUGACGGUACCUAAUCAGAAAGCCACGGCUAACUACGUG